rnacentral:rRNA from 1 species
CCUACGGGCGGCAGCAGUGAGGAAUAUUGGUCAAUGGGCGCUAGCCUGAACCAGCCAAGUAGCGUGAAGGAUGACUGCCCUAUGGGUUGUAAACUGCUUUUAUACGGGAAUAAAGUGCAUUACGUAUACUGCUUUGCAUGUACCUUAUGAAUAAGGACCGGCUAAUUCCGUGCCAGCAGCCGCGGUAAUACGGAGGAUCCGGGCGUUAUCCGGAUUUAUUGGGUUUAAAGGGAGCGUAGGCGGUAUGUUAAGUCAGUUGUGAAAGUUUGCGGCUCAACCGUGGAAUUGCAGUUGAAACUGGCGUGCUUGAGUACAGUAGAGGUAGGCGGAAUUCGUAGUGUAGCGGUGAAAUGCUUAGAUAUCACGAAGAACCCCGAUUGCGAAGGCAGCCUGCUGGACUGUAACUGACGCUGAUGCUCGAAAGCGUGGGUAUCAAACAGGAUUAGAUACCCGUGUAGUC